AGCUAGCCUGACUACGUCAGACUUCCUACUUCCGCUCAAUUUCAUUUAGCUUCUGUACUCAGUCUGAUACAGCUUCAGAGCUUUCUGUUUCCCACCGGUCUGAAAACAGCCGGGCCAAUCAACGAGCAGAGGGUGGGCUGAGAGCCGUGACGUAGAUGCUUAGCGCCGAGUUUUACAUUGUAGGUUAGAGAAAUCGAAAACCGAAACGACCGCGGAAAUGGGAAACGAGACACGGGAUGCAAUUCGCUCGAAUAACCCCAGAGUGCAGUCUGGACGAUGGGGCGGGGCGACACUUCGAGGCGGAGCGACACGUGUCGCCCCGCCCAUAUUUGUUUUCCCCGCCUUUGACAUUUUCCUCCGAGCCAGCAGGGGGCAGUUUGCGUUGAAACAAACAGAACGGUGGCAACUACAGCAGCAGAGUAAUAACGCUAUUCCGUUGAUUGCUUGAGGAUGACAUGAUCAGGAGGUGGUGGUGUUCUGUUCUCCUGGACAGCUUUACUCCGCAAAUAGCUCAACCACUGAGGGGAGGAACUUCACCAUUCACCAUGUCUUCAGGCAGAGUCCAGCAAAGCAGCUUCCACUGGAAAUCCUCAGGGAAGUUAUUUUGUCGGCGAGUGACUCUGCAUAUUUGACACUGUCUCUGGUUUGCAGAUGGUUUAGGGAUGUGCUCCGAAGUUUUUCGGAAAGCGGCACAGUUUGCCUGGCUAGACAGAAAGAUUUCCCCGUUUAAUGCUCAUUCUCCAAUUGAAUUUUGUAGUAGAAGGCUGUUAAACUUUUUUUGUAUUAUUAUUAUUAUCUUUCAUGUAUUUUGUCUUUACACUAUAAGUUGUGGCCAACUGGAAGAAUUGUCCUCCUGUCUCCUGACCGG